CCCACGGAAUGCAAGACAGCAGAGGAGGCAAGCUUAUUAGGACUAGGACCAGAAAAAACAACGGUGAGAGAGAGAGAGAGACACUGAAUUGGGUUUGGAAAAGAGUGGAGCGAUUUGGCUAGAAAAAGGGAGCCUAAAAGUAAGCAUUUAGGAGGUCUUGCCAAAGAUGAGUUUUACUAGUUCCUUCCUGUUAAAGGAUGCCCAUGAAGAUGCUAUAGAGAGAUGUGUGUUUGGAUAUUGAAUCAACCUGCAAACAUAGAGACAGACUUCAGUUUACAUGCCAGAGAGAGAUGUGUGUUCAUCUGAGCUUAAUCACUAACUAUGUGAUUAGUCAACAGUCGUCACCCAGUUCCCAUUCUCAAAUGAAGGCUCGUCAAACAAGGUUGGCGUUGCAUAAGUGAUUGCUUGUGGUCACUUGAGACUCUUUCAGAACACAUUUAAGAACAUCCUGGGGUUGUGGGCAAGAUGGCCAAAUAGGAACAACUCUGGUCUGAGGCUCCCAGCAAGAUCAACUCAGAAGCUUGAGGUGGUUUCUUGUGAUCCCGUGACCUGUGAACUAAGAAGACAAGUUCUUUCUCUCCUCCAUGUAUACUUCUACACCAAUAGUAAAGCAGAAACAAGAUAACUCUCACAAAGUCUCCAACUGUGAAAAGAGGAAAAGGGUAGACAUACAGCAAUCAGAGAUUCCCUCCAAUAAUGAAACCCUGCUGGGCAGGAACAGUGAAACCUCAAUUCAUGAAUGUUCAGCAAGUUUUAAGUCCCUGAUUCAACUCUUCAGGAGAAUCUACUGGGUCCAUUCUUCUCCGUAACUCUGAUGCUGCCCUCUGGGAUACUGUUUUUGUUUUUUUUUUUUUUUUUUUCUUCUUGUCCAUUAUCCUUCAACCAUAUCUGAAGUAAGUACAUUUUUCAGUGAGCAGACUUUCAGCAAACACUUCCAGAUAUCAAAACCAUUGCUGUUCAUUUUCUGCCUAUGUAAGUUUGGGGAACAAAGGGGUGUUUUGUAAUCACAGAGUUUUAUAAAACUGUAAUUAUUGUUUUACUGGAAGUGUGCUUCCGUUAAACUCAUAGCUUCUGAUCUGUUUCCACUCAAUUCCAUGAGUCAGUAAUCAGCUUGUAAAUUCUUUUUUUUUAGAUUUAAAACUUAUACCUCUUGCAUUGGUUUGUUUGUUUGUUUAUUAUCUUCUGCUUUCUAGAGCUCAUGUACUUCUCUCAAUCCAAUGGGAGCU